rnacentral:rRNA from 1 species
GAUGAACGCUGGCGGCGUGCCUAAUACAUGCAAGUCGAGCGGACGGACGAGAGGUUGGCUUCUCUGAUGUUAGCGGCGGACGGGUGAGUAACACGUGGAUAACCUACCUUUAAGACUGGUAUACCUUCGGGAAACCGUAGCUAAUACCGGAUGAUGUUUUGAACCGCAGGGUUCAGAAGUGCAAGACGGUCUUGCUGUCACUUCUAGGUGGAUCCGCGCUGCGUUAGCUAGUUGGUAUGGUAACGGCUUUCCAAGGCAACGAUGCAUAGCCGACCUGCGAGGGUGAGCCGCCAUGCGAGGACUGAGACCCGCUCUGGACCCCUGCGGGAGGCCGCAGUCGGGAAGCAUGCAGAAGGGGCGAAAGCUUGACGGAGCACGCCAGCGUGAGGCAGGAAGGUCGUGUGAUCGUAAACCGCUUUUAUGUGGGAAGAACAUAUGUGUAAGGAAGUGGCCAUAUCGUGACGGUAGCUAAUGAGAAAGCACCGGCUAACUACGUG